rnacentral:rRNA from 1 species
UACGAAGGGGGCGAGCGUUGUUCGGAUUUACUGGGCGUAAAGGGCGCGCAGGCGGCCAUUCAAGUCAGGCGUGAAAGCCCCGGGCUUAACCUGGGAGGUGCGCUUGGGACUGGGUGGCUAGAGAUCGGGAGAGGAGAGUGGAAUUCCCAGUGUAGAGGUGAAAUUCGUAGAUAUUGGGAAGAACACCAGUGGCGAAGGCGGCUCACUGGCCCGGUACUGACGCUGAGGUGCGAAAGCGUGGGGAGCAAACAGG